rnacentral:rRNA from 1 species
CUGGCGGCAUGCUUAACACAUGCAAGUCGAACGGCAGCACAGUGUGUAGCAAUACACACGGGUGGCGAGUGGCGGACGGGUGAGUAACGCGUAGGAAUCUGCCUUAGAGAGGGGGAUAACCCGAGGAAACUCGGACUAAUACCGCAUAAUCUCGGAAGAGAAAAGUUGGGGUAACCUGACGCUUUAAGAGGAGCCUGCGUCUGAUUAGCUAGUUGGUGGGGUAAAAGCCUACCAAGGCGAUGAUCGGUAGCUGGUCUGAGAGGAUGAUCAGCCACACUGGGACUGAGACACGGCCCAGACUCCUACGGGAGGCAGCAGUGGGGAAUAUUGGACAAUGGGGGCAACCCUGAUCCAGCAAUGCCGCGUGUGUGAAGAAGGCCUUAGGGUUGUAAAGCACUUUAGGCAGGGAAGAAGAUGUGUAUUUUAAGAGAUAGCACAUUUGACUGUACCUGCAGAAUAAGCACCGGCUAACUCUGUGCCAGCAGCCGCGGUAAU